GACGAACGCUGGCGGCGUGCAUAACACAUGCAAGUCGAACGGAAAGGCCCUGCUUUUGUGGGGUGCUCGAGUGGCGAACGGGUGAGUAACACGUGAGUAACCUGCCCUUGACUUUGGGAUAACUUCAGGAAACUGGGGCUAAUACCGGAUAGGAGCUCCUGCUGCAUGGUGGGGGUUGGAAAGUUUCGGCGGUUGGGGAUGGACUCGCGGCUUAUCAGCUUGUUGGUGGGGUAGUGGCUUACCAAGGCUUUGACGGGUAGCCGGCCUGAGAGGGUGACCGGCCACAUUGGGACUGAGAUACGGCCCGGACUCCUACGGGGGGCAGCAGUGGGGAAUAUUGCACAAUGGGCGGAAGCCUGAUGCAGCAACGCCGCGUGCGGGAUGACGGCCUUCGGGUUGUAAACCGCUUUCGCCUGUGACGAAGCGUGAGUGACGGUAAUGGGUAAAGAAGCACCGGCUAACUACGUG
rnacentral:rRNA from 1 species